GCUCUGUUGUCGAUGGGCAACAGGCCGACCAUGUGAGUGGUCAGCCGAUCACACCCGCUUCGGCAAAUACAUUGCAGGGGUCGGCCAUAAAGGGGGAGUAGCAACAUGAUUGUGAAACCCCUAGGCCGC
rnacentral:sRNA from 12 species